UAGGGAAUCUUCCGCAAUGGGCGAAAGCCUGACGGAGCAACGCCGCGUGAGUGAUGAAGGUCUUCGGAUCGUAAAACUCUGUUAUUAGGGAAGAACAAAUGUGUAAGUAACUAUGCACGUCUUGACGGUACCUAAUCAGAAAGCCACGGCUAACUACGUGCCAGCAGCCGCGGUAAUACGAAGGUGGCAAGCGUUAUCCGGAAUUAUUGGGCGUAAAGCGCGCGUAGGCGGUUUUUUAAGUCUGGUGUGAAAGCCCACGGCUCAACCGUGGAGGGUCAUUGGAAACUGGAAAACUUGAGUGCAGAAGAGGAAAGUGGAAUUCCAUGUGUAGCGGUGAAAUGCGCAGAGAUAUGGAGGAACACCAGUGGCGAAGGCGACUUUCUGGUCUGUAACUGACGCUGAUGUGCGAAAGCGUGGGGAUCAAACAGG
rnacentral:rRNA from 1 species